CAAAAUGCAUCGAAGAGGACAACAGUUACUUUUUCACCUUUCAGAGAGCAGGGGCAUGGCUGAAACCCUUGCAGGCAGGAAAAAUAAUUUACCACCUCCAAGCAGCAUCAGUGAAUAUAGUAGCUGAUGACGGUAACGGCCCGUUAGCCGAUCGAAAGCUUCAUCUAUUCGCAAAUGCGAACAGAAGGAAGAAGGGUGGAACCACGAGCUCAAGCCUCGUCCCUUUA
rnacentral:ncRNA from 1 species